rnacentral:lncRNA from 1 species
GUACUAUGUGUCCAGUAACAGUCUUCUACCCAAGACUCAAAAGCAUGAUUUUGGAAAAGAAAAUUUUCAGUUUAUGGAUGCCUUCCGAUGACCAAAGUAGUCGACAUCCUUCGCCCUCAUGAGAGAUCCUCCAUCCAGGUAAGGGUAGAAGGCGACUAUUCAGAUUGGAAGCAGGAUCCUGCAUAACGUGGACACUGUGCUCUGUCUCUGAGAUGCUUGAUGUCAGGAACACCUGAGCAGUCAUAUCCUGGCCUUCCCUGCACAUUUUCUCUUUAUCUUUUAUGUUUUACAAAUACCAAA